rnacentral:rRNA from 1 species
UCUGGUGGCAUGUCGCAAGGGCUACACCCGUUCUCAUUCCGAACACGGCAGUUAAGCCUUGCAGAGCCGAUGGUACUCCUUCGGGGGGAGAGUAGGUAGCCGCCAGAU